UACGAAGGGGGCUAGCGUUGCUCGGAAUCACUGGGCGUAAAGCGCACGUAGGCGGACUCUUAAGUCGGUGGUGAAAUCCUGGAGCUCAACUCCAGAACUGCCUUCGAUACUGGAGAGUCUUGAGUCCGGAAGAGGAGAGUGGAAUUCCCGGUGUAGGCGGAUGAAAUGCGCAGAAUAUCGGGAAGAACACCCGGUGGGCGAAGGCGGCGAUCUGGGUAGAUACUGACGUGGAGGUGACGAAAGCGUGGGGAGCAA
rnacentral:rRNA from 1 species